GUGCUCCUUCUGGGGAACAACAGGACCAUACAUGCCCGGGACCCACGGAGCCUGGCACCCCAGGUGGGAGGGAAGCGAGGUGAUGUUUUCAGAGAGUGGGGACUAAGGGGUACAGGGGGAGCGGUGGCAAUUGCGCCGGGGAGAGAACUUCAGACUCAGGAGGGGCCGAGGGUGGCAGGACCGUCCCGGCGGCGGCGACCUCCCCGCUCGGUGUCACUGUCACACACCUUUGUGCGUGGGGCCCGCGCACGGGGCCUCGGAGCUCGCGGGGCCGGCCGCGGGGGCGUCGAGCCCGGGCGAGAAGUCCGCCGCCCCCGCCCCCCUCGCUCCACCAGAGACCCCAAGGCCCUGUCCCCAAACACACACACACACCGAGGGACUGGGGGGGUGGGCAUCUCCUGGGGGGGGGCCCUCCCGCCGCAGCCACCAUCGCCGCUUCUUUGUCCCGCUGGCCACCUCCCGGGGUCUCCCGGGGAAACCCCGUCCUGGAGGCCUCGGGGCCCAGGGGCGCCCCAGCUUUGUUCGGUCAACGGGGCGCGGGGAGGCGAACACUUACCGUACACCUCAGCGAGGAAAAGCCAGAGCAACGCCGACUUCCACCGCCGAGCCUCUUUUGUGCUCCCGAGCCGGGCCAUCACCACGGCAGAUGGAGGGAGCGAGGAGAUGGAGGAGGAGCUGGGGCCAGGCGCCGGUGCCGCCGCCAAGCCCCCGGCUGCUCCCUGCGCUCUCCGCGGCGGCGGCGGCGGCGGCGGGAGGGGAGGAGAGGGGGAGAGGGAGAGGGAGGAGGGGGAGGGGAGAGGGGAGGGGCCGUCGCCGCCCGCGCGCUCCCGCAGACGCGCGCGCGCCCGCUCGCCCCACGCGCCGCGGCCUUCCCGGCGGCAGGGCCAGUACCGCGCGUGCCGGCGCCACGCAAAGUGGGGCCCAGCGAACGCGGGGCUCCGGCCUUGCGCCGCACUGGCGAGCCGGUGCCCCACGCGCCAGACGACCGAGCGCGAGCCGGCGCCCGCGCCCAUCCGUGAGAUCGGCCAUCCCC
rnacentral:lncRNA from 1 species